CUGCUGCUUCAGACCACGAGGGCUGGAGUCCUAGAGAUCCAGUGCUGCUUCCCUUCGCCCACCAACAGCUUCACCCUGGACAUCAUGGUAGGCAUCCCGUAAACUGCCUGUACCAGCUGUCCAGUGUCAACUUGAGCCUGGAGGCUGAGGCAACCAUGGGUCCUGUGACAGACAGCCUGCUGUGUCCUGCCCUGCAGUUCUGGCAGGCCUCAUGCAAGCAACUGCGGCACUCACGGACAGCUACAACAAAAUCCUGCAGCUGGACCUGGGUCCGUUAGUCUCGUGAGGCCCUGGAUGUGAGCUUUCUGCCUGCUGCAUCAAUACAGAACAGGUCACAUUGUCCCCAGCAUGCUCAAAGUGGCCAUCAACCACCCUAGCGGGUCCACCAAGGGGCUGUUGCUGCUGUUGGCCUCAAGCAAGGGGGUUGGGGGGGGCAGCUGUCUGCUCAUGGGCUACACUGGCUAGGGAGCAAUUUCUUCCUGCGCAACCAUAGCCUAGAAGAGCACCUCUUCGAGAAUGCGCCCAAAAUCCCUAUUCACUCCCUAGGACGCUCAUGGAUACACAUGGAGACUUGGCCAAGCUCUUCUCCUUCAAUCUCAACCUGUCGGAUGACAACAUCCUGAAGAUCAAGCAGGGUGCCAAGAGGUGGCAUGGCCAAGGUGACCUCUACAGCAGCCUCCAGUUGUUCUUCUCCUUCCUAUCCCCCCUCAGGGCGCCCCAGGUGCCCACAACAUCCUGGUCAUGCUCUGUGCCUUGCCUUCCACUUCGCUGACAGGCAGGCUGCAAUUCAUACAGUGCGCACUGCCUGCUUCGUGGAGCAGGCCCCCGAAGUGAUGGUGGUGCUGGACAGCUUGGUGCAGGGCACCAGGUCAGCCUGUGAGAGCAAACACAACAUACAGCUACAGCCUGAACAGCUGGAUUGCGGAGUGGCCCACCUGAAGUCCCCACUGAUCUCAAGAAGCCUGACCAGCCUCAGUAGUAUGAAAAUGGCUUGUGACUAUGGAAAU
rnacentral:lncRNA from 1 species